rnacentral:rRNA from 1 species
AUGGGCGACCACUACCAGACGCUGGGGCUCGGCCGCGACGCCAGUAAGGCCGACAUCAAGAACGCCUUCUUCCGCCUCGCCCACCGCCACCACCCCGACCACCACACCCACGCCGACGCCGCCGCCCGAGCCGAGGCCACGCUCCGCUUCCGCCAGGUCAAAGACGCCUACGACGUGCUCCACGACGACCGCCGCCGCGCCGAGUACGAUUCCUGGUGCCGCUCCUCCUCGCGUUCGAGUGGCUACGGGCACCGUCACGGACACGGACACGGCGGGAACUCUACCUGGUCGUCGUCCGCGAGGAACGACCACGGGCACCGUCACGGACACGGCGGCGCCACCUCGUCGGCCGGUUCGAGGGCUCCGCCUCGGCCGAGAGGCCGUUCUAGAAUCGAGAACGCGAUAUUCUGGACAGGCUGGACAGCGUUCCUGAAGACGAAGCAACAGUGGGAAAAUUUGAAACGAGGAUGGGAAAAGAGGAACCCCUGGAAAUCAUGGUUGGAGUCGAGAGAGAAGGACAAAGAGAAGAACUAG